ACAUUGGCUGUCAGUUAGUCACACUACUCCUCAGGGAUAGGGAAGAAAUCCUAUAGUCAGUGUAAAGUCUGCCUCUGGGCAGUAAAAAUGCAGCAACUCCUGUGUCCUCUCCUCUCACCUCACUGAGGGGGUUGUAUUCCCGAACCCUUUUCUCAUACCUUAAAUGGAGAUAGGCCCCAAAGGAUACCAUUGCCGUCUCAGACUUUGUCGAAAUUCUCUCUGUUGAAUUCGGCUCUCAAGGUAGUACCAAAAAGCAAAAGGCGCUUAAAGGGGUACUCCUCAGAAAAACAUGUUAUCCCCUUUCCAAAGGAUAGGGGAUAUGAUGUCUAAUUGCGAGGGUCCCGCCACUGGGGACCCCUACAAUCUCUGCUGCGGCACCCAAGUCAUCUGUGCACGCAGUGAACUCUGCUCCGUGCCGGAUGACUGGCAACUACUGCUACUACUACUACUACUAUGGGAGACAUGAAUGGAGGGUGCGUGGCGUGACAUCACGAACACAGAAGCUCCAAGCUUCCAUGUUCCAGACGCCGCUGCUGCCAGCCAGAGAUUGCUGGAAACCCCAGCGGCGGGACCAGGUGAUUAGACAUCUUAUCCCCUGUCCUUUGGAUAGGGGAUAACAUGUUUUUUGGGCACAGUACCCCUUUAAGGUACAAAUAGCAUUACUGAUGGGCACUAUAGCUUUUGGAUGAAGGUACAGGUUAUCAUCUGGGCCGCUCCUAUCUCUGUGACAGACUAGUGUCUGGGUUCCCUCUGCCGGAUGCUCUGCAGUCAGUGGCAUCUCAACUUUACCCAAAGAAAACGUCGGUGAGAGAGAGGGACUUUUCAUGAGGAUCUCACUUAAAAUGGAACCCCAUUAGAGAGAGUCAUGUCUAAAGUCUGAAGUUUUCCAAGAACCGAUCAUUUCUGUCAAAUUGUCCAACAAAUAAUCCAAACCCUUAUACAAGUCCAGUCUGUGGCGAGCCAGUACAAGUCCAGUACGGCAUAGAAACUGUUAAGUCAAAGUCAGAGUCAGCUUUCUGUCUAAAGUCAAGUGUACUACAACUCCCACAAUCUCUACUAAGUCAGCGACAUUAGCUAUUUACCAAGGUCACCAGCUUCAAUGUAAAUUCUACCUCAAGUCUUUACCAUCUUAAUUGUCCACUGUACUUCACAAAUCUGCAACCAGUUCAGUAAAGUUAAAGUGGUUAUCCAACAUCAUGGCAUUUCAGGAUUUAUUUCCUGGGACCAAAAUACAGAUGACGGUUUCAUCGAGGUCAUGGUUAAUGGUCAGCAAGGCUACUACAUGCACAAACCACAGAUCCCCCCAACCUGGACGAUCCGCCUUAACAGGGACCCCAAACUGGAUGACGGUCCCUACACUGGGCUAAGUGAACGGUGAAUCAGUGGCCAUUUUGGAAACAUUGGAUGAACCAUUUUGCCAGAUGCGAGAAUCUAUUGCAAAUCUGUCAGAUCUCCUCCUCAUUCCUAUCUAAAUGUUUGCUCUUUCCAAAAUAAUUGUGCCAAUCUGAUUGCCUCCAUAGUGAAAUACAGCAUACCUCCAACACUAGCAGUGCACAAUGUGUUCAAGAAAAUAACUGUAGCAGUGUGCUAGUGAAAGUCAUAGUGCCCCAAACAGAAUGAACUUCUCAGCUGACAUAGGGCAUUCAAUAGGGCCCAGCAAUGGAUAUAGGCAACUAGAUGGAGGAGAACAUAAUGGCAGCCUACACCUGGCCUUAUCUUGACUUUGGGUGCCCCAUUUUAGUUCUUUCCAUCAGCAUUUUAAAAGGAUAAAGCUGAACAGGAGCUCAUAAAGUUGCUUAAGAAGACCCCGAAAAUGUUACAGAAUAAAAAAGAAAAAUGGUUAAAGUGUCCCUGUAACUUAAAAUAAACUUUUGACUGCAGAAAAGGCAUUUGUGAAGGCCCCUAUACAAGCAAAACUUUCCUGGAAUAUGCCCAUUUGCGACACUUUGUGAACUCUCAGGGGAACAAGCUCUCUCUAACUAGGGACCUUACGUUCUUUGAGACACUUUGUAUCUCGUCUCCUCUCCCUGGUAAAGCUAUUUCCUUGAUAUAUAUACUCUUCUUCUCAAUCCCCACAGAGG